rnacentral:lncRNA from 10 species
UAAAAUAGACUAAGCUAAUUACUAAACCAAAUAUUUCAUUACUUGUUAUAAGAAUUUAAAUAUUAUUACUUAUUGUAAAUGUUUAAACUUGAAAUCUUAUAUAAAAGAAACAUACCUCCAGAAUAAUACCCAAAGACAUGUUUUUAAAGCUUUUAUUUAAAAAAAGGGUAAAACAAGAGAUGACAUUUUAAAAAGACAAGACAGUAAUUAAAUCAUAGUACCGUGUCCCUUUUAAUUUGCCAUAAUAAUUCCUUUUCUUUGGAGUAUUCAUUUUUAUGCUCAUUUCUUUGCAAAGAAAAAUUACAAAAAAAAUGUUUUCCAGUAUAAAAAAUGAAUACGGGGCCAGGCGCGGUGGCUCACUCCUGUAAUCCCAGCACUUUCGGAGGCCGAGGUGGGUGGAUCACCUGAGGUCAGGAGUUUGAGAUCAGCCUGGCCAACAUGGUGAAAGCCUGUCUCUACUAAAAAUACAAAAAUUAGCCAGGCAUGGUAGCGGGCACCUGUAAAUCCCAGCUACUGGGGAGGCUGAGGCAGGAGAAUCACUUGAACCCAGGAGGUGGGGGUUGCAGUGAGCUGAGAUCGCGCUACUGCUCUCCAGCCUGGGCAACAAGAGCAAGACUCCAUCUCAAAAGAAAAAAAAAGGAUUUGGGGUCUCCUUGGGAGCUAUAAACAGUAGAUGCAUUUUUUCAGUGACAACAUGAACAUGUGAAACUGAUGAAGCAGAAAUUGUAUCUGAUUCUUACAUGUUCAUGCAUAUGGUGAUAGAAGCACAAACACUUUAUCUUGCAGACAAGAGAAUAUUGCCAGUUUUGACCUAUGAAGAACAAAAACUAGGACAAAGCUCUCUGUCAGAGAAAUCUCAUCAUUUUUCAAUACCACCAAUGCAAUUGUGAAAUGAUUUGACCUAAGGUUUAUCUAUAAUUCCUCAGUUCACAGGUACAACAAAUAUUGGCUCCUCCUUUUAAAGGCAGUGUGUGUGUAUGUAUGUGUGUGUGUGUUGUGUUGAUUGAUUUUUUUUUUUUUUUUGAAUUCUGGAAAACUCUUAACAUAAAGAUUUGGUCUAAGGGUCAGAACUUUGUUCUAGCCUGCAAGGGAUCCCUAAGUUCUGUCAUUCUACCACUAAAGCCAAGCUUCUUGGUUCUCCUCAGAAGCCUACAUCAUAGACAGAAACGGAAAGGCAAAAAUGAAAAAGAGGAAUAUGAAAAAGUGGGAGAGAAAAAGAAAAACAUGAAAAAUUUCUCUAUAAUUCUAUUAAGUGAGAAUAUGUCAGCUGGGCACAGUGGCUCAUGCCUGUAGUCCCAGUACUUUGGGAGGCCAAGGCAGGUGGAUCACUUGAGCUCAGGAGUUUGAGACCAGCCUGGCCAACAUGGUGAAAUCCCAUCUCUACUAAACAUUCAAAAAUUAGCUGGGCAUGGUGGUGCACACCUGUAGUCCCAGCUACUCGGAAGCCUGAGGCAUGAGAAUCGUUUGAACCUGGGAGGCGGAGGCUGCAGUGAGCUGAGAUUGUGCCACUGCACUCCAGCCUAGGUGACAGACGGAGACUCCAUCUCAAAAAAAAAAAAAAAAGAGAGAAUAUGUCCUGUGUUAGCUUGCUUAGGAAAUAAAGAGAGAGAGAGAGAGGGAGGGAGGGAAAGAGAGAAAGAGAGAGAGAGAAAGAGAGUGAGAGAAAGAGAGAGCAAGAGAGCAAGAGUAAGAAAGAAAGAAAAAGAAAGAAAGAAAAGAGGCCGGUAUUCAAUGUGGCAUAUGGGGCAGCACCACCUCUGGCAAACUUUAAACCAGAGAGUGCAUGUUUUAGCAGGCCACUGAAUUAAAAUUUGUGGCUCCUGGAUUUCAAAGGCGGUUAAUGUAGUAAUUUGCUGGGAGUUAUCAAAGGCAGAGAAAAUAUUGCUCCAUGGUAAUAUCCUAGCUAUGGAAAAUAAUUAGCACUUUCAGGCAGCAAGGAUUAGAAAAGCAAAUUUUCUCUGAAUUCUCUGCCAAAUUCAGCUAAAAUUUCAGGAUACAGCACAGGAAUUCCAAGGCAGACAACCGCACGAGGUUCUAAGGUUUCACAUUCUCAAAAUUCAUCAUUCUAGAAUGUUCUAGGGUGAUAUCAUUGACCUUUGCGGGCAACCCUUUUCUGCACAGUCAGACCAGUACUGGUAGUUGAGAGUUGUGGGUAAACUUGGCUCUCAUAAAAAAGAAAGGCAUUGUAUUUCAAGUCUUUACAGUAGAUGUUUUUGUGGGACUUAUCAAAGGAGAGAAGGAACCUCUUUGAGUUGGUGAGCCAUCAACAAAUCUGAGUGCCAUUUGUGUGUUUCACUGGCCAUUCUGAACAAGUAGAAAGGAAACUAGGAUGGAAGUUAGGAAAUUAUGUUCCAUCCUGGCUCUUUCACUAAAACCCAAUUUAUGGGUAUAUAAGAUGCAAUUUCCCCUAUGUGAAAGACAAUUCAAAAAUUGCUCCAUAUCAUACGUGUCCAUACCACAAAUGGAAAGCCUAGUACUAAAGUUACAAAAUAAUGAUGUCACCUCUAGUGGUGAAAUAAGGAAACAAAAUAUAACAGCAAAAAUAAGAGUUUCCCGUCAUAAUGGUAGUUUCCUUAACAAAAAUAACCACAGGGCAACUGAUCAGAAGGAAAGUAUUACUCUAAAAUUUUAGAUUUAAAUUUGUUACUACUAUAAUAAUGCUGCAUACCAAAACUGAUUGACAUCUAAACAUUUCUGUGUAGUGCUGAGAUUUUCAUAUCUAUUUUUUUUUCAGGGUAAGACUGACUUUUUUUUGCUAAUAUUGCGCCCAUGAUAUCUUAUUGGAUUCUAAUAUAUAUAAGGAUAUCAUAUUUACAUCAACAAGAUAAUAUUUUUCUUUUUAUACUUCCAGAUCAUUGUCUCUAUAUAACAAAAAGUAUUUAAUAUUUUAAUUUUCAAAAAUGUCUCUGUAAAUAAGAUACAUC